UGAGGAAUAUUGGUCAAUGGGCGAGAGCCUGAACCAGCCAAGUAGCGUGCAGGAUGACGGCCCUAUGGGUUGUAAACUGCUUUUAUAUGGGAAUAAAGUGAGGGACGUGUCCCUUAUUGCAUGUACCAUAUGAAUAAGGACCGGCUAAUUCCGUGCCAGCAGCCGCGGUAAUACGGAAGGUCCAGGCGUUAUCCGGAUUUAUUGGGCGUAAAGCGAGCGCAGGCGGUUAGAAAAGUCUGAAGUGAAAGGCAGUGGCUCAACCAUUGUAGGCUUUGGAAACUGUUUAACUUGAGUGCAGAAGGGGAGAGUGGAAUUCCAUGUGUAGCGGUGAAAUGCGUAGAUAUAUGGAGGAACACCGGUGGCGAAAGCGGCUCUCUGGUCUGUAACUGACGCUGAGGCUCGAAAGCGUGGGGAGCGAACAGG
rnacentral:rRNA from 1 species